rnacentral:rRNA from 1 species
UACGUAGGUGGCAAGCGUUGUCCGGAAUUAUUGGGCGUAAAGCGCGCGCAGGCGGUCCUUUAAGUCUGAUGUGAAAGCCCACGGCUCAACCGUGGAGGGUCAUUGGAAACUGGGGGACUUGAGUACAGAAGAGAAGAGUGGAAUUCCACGUGUAGCGGUGAAAUGCGUAGAGAUGUGGAGGAACACCAGUGGCGAAGGCGACUCUUUGGUCUGUAACUGACGCUGAGGCACGAAGGUCAGGGGAGCAAACGGG